rnacentral:rRNA from 1 species
GAUGAACGCUGGCGGCGUGCCUAAUACAUGCAAGUCGAGCGAACGGACGAGAAGCUUGCUUCUCUGAUGUUAGCGGCGGACGGGUGAGUAACACGUGGAUAACCUACCUAUAAGACUGGGAUAACUUCGGGAAACCGUAGCUAAUACCGGAUAAUAUUUUGAACCGCAUGGUUCAAAAGUGAAAGACGGUCUUGCUGUCACUUAUAGAUGGAUCCGCGCUGCAUUAGCUAGUUGGUAAGGUAACGGCUUACCAAGGCAACGAUGCAUAGCCGACCUGAGAGGGGGAACGGCCACACUGGAACUGAGACGCGGUCCAGACUCCUACGGGAGGCAGAGGUAGGGAAUCUUCCGCAAUGGGCGAAAGCCUGACGGAGCAACGCCGCGUGAGUGAUGAAGGUCUUCGGAUCGUAAAACUCUGUUAUUAGGGAAGAACAUAUGUGUAAGUAACUGUGCACAUCUUGACGGUACCUAAUCAGAAAGCCACGGCUAACUACGUG